rnacentral:misc_RNA from 1 species
UGGUUCUCGCAUCGAUGAAGAACGCAGCAAAAUGCGAUACGUAAUGUGACUUGCAGCACACGUGAAUCAUCGAAUCUUUGAACGCAAAUUGCGCUCCUUGGUAUUCCAGGGAGCAUGCCUGUUUGAGCGUCAUAUCCUUCUUACUUUAAAUGUUAUUAAUUAACGUUUACGAGUAGUGCUUGGACAUGUAGUCGCGUACUACAUAGUCUGAAAUGGAUAGACGGACAAGUUCAUUAAAUUGACCGUUGACGCACCAAGUUUGAAAAAACUUUCGUCUCUAGUCAAGAACUCGAAUGUCUAAGUAUUAAAUUAUAUUAUGACUUUGACCUCAAAUCAGGUAGGACUACGCGCUGA